AAUUGACCUCGGAUCAGGUAGGGAUACCCGCUGAACUUAAGCAUAUCAAUAAGCGGAGGAAAAGAAACCAACAGGGAUUGCCUCAGUAACGGCGAGUGAAGCGGCAACAGCUCAAAUUUGAAAUCUGGCUUCGGCCCGAGUUGUAAUUUGUAGAGGAUGUUUCGGGAGCGGCCCGGUCUAAGUCCCUUGGAACAGGGCGUCAUAGAGGGUGAGAAUCCCGUAUGUGACCGGUGACCAACCCCAUGUGAAACCCCUUCGACGAGUCGAGUUGUUUGGGAAUGCAGCUCAAAAUGGGUGGUAAAUUUCAUCUAAAGCUAAAUACCGGCCAGAGACCGAUAGCGCACAAGUAGAGUGAUCGAAAGAUGAAAAGCACUUUGGAAAGAGAGUUAAAAAGUACGUGAAAUUGUUGAAAGGGAAGCGCUUGCAACCAGACCUGUCCCCGGGCGAUCAGCGGGGGUUCUCCCCCGUGCACUCGCCCGUGAUCAGGCCAGCAUCGGUUCGGGCGGUUGGAUAAAGACCUCGGGAAUGUGGCUCCUUUCGGGGAGUGUUAUAGCCCUUGGUGCAAUGCGGCCAGCCCGGACCGAGGACCGCGCUUCGGCUAGGAUGCUGGCAUAAUGGUUGUAAGCGACCCGUCUUGAAACACGGACCAAGGAGUCUAACAUCUAUGCGAGUGUUUGGGUGUCAAACCCAUACGCGUAAUGAAAGUGAACGGAGGUGGGAACCCUUUAGGGCGCACCAUCGACCGAUCCAGAUGUCUUCGGAUGGAUUUGAGUAUGAGCAUAGCUGUUGGGACCCGAAAGAUGGUGAACUAUGCCUGAAUAGGGUGAAGCCAGAGGAAACUCUGGUGGAGGCUCGCAGCGGUUCUGACGUGCAAAUCGAUCGUCAAAUUUGGGUAUAGGGGCGAAAGACUAAUCGAACCAUCUAGUAGCUGGUUCCUGCCGAAGUUUCCCUCAGGA
rnacentral:rRNA from 1 species